rnacentral:rRNA from 1 species
GACGAACGCUGGCGGCGUGCUUAACACAUGCAAGUCGAACGGAAAGGCCCUGCUUUUGUGGGGUGCUCGAGUGGCGAACGGGUGAGUAACACGAGAGUAACCUGCCCUUGACUUUGGGAUAACUUCAGGAAACUGGGGCUAAUACCGGAUAGGAGCUCCUGCUGCAUGGUGGGGGUUGGAAAGUUUCGGCGGAUGGGGAUGGACUCGCGGCUUAUCAGCUUGUUGGUGGGGUAGUGGCUUACCAAGGCUUUGACGGGUAGCCGGCCUGAGAGGGUGACCGGCCACAUUGGGACUGAGAUACGGCCCAGACUCCUACGGGAGGCAGCAGUGGGGAAUAUUGCACAAUGGGCGGAAGCCUGAUGCAGCAACGCCGCGUGCGGGAUGACGGCCUUCGGGUUGUAAACCGCUUUCGCCUGUGACGAAGCGUGAGUGACGGUAAUGGGUAAAGAAGCACCGGCUAACUACGUG